GGCUGGCGCAGCUACCAUGCAGUCGAGCGGUAACAGGGGUAGCUUGCUACCCGCUGACGAGCGGCGGACGGGUGAGUAAUGCAUAGGAAUCUGCCCGAUAGUGGGGGAUAACCUGGGGAAACCCAGGCUAAUACCGCAUACGUCCUACGGGAGAAAGGGGGCUCCGGCUCCCGCUAUUGGAUGAGCCUAUGUCGGAUUAGCUAGUUGGUAAGGUAAUGGCUUACCAAGGCAACGAUCCGUAGCUGGUCUGAGAGGAUGAUCAGCCACAUCGGGACUGAGACACGGCCCGAACUCCUACGGGAGGCAGCAGUGGGGAAUAUUGGACAAUGGGGGCAACCCUGAUCCAGCCAUGCCGCGUGUGUGAAGAAGGCCCUCGGGUUGUAAAGCACUUUCAGCGAGGAAGAACGCCUAUCGGUUAAUACCCGGUAGGAAAGACAUCACUCGCAGAAGAAGCACCGGCUAACUCCGUGCCAGCAGCCGCGGUAAUACGGAGGGUGCAAGCGUUAAUCGGAAUUACUGGGCGUAAAGCGCGCGUAGGUGGCUUGAUAAGCCGGUUGUGAAAGCCCCGGGCUCAACCUGGGAACGGCAUCCGGAACUGUCAGGCUAGAGUGCAGGAGAGGAAGGUAGAAUUCCCGGUGUAGCGGUGAAAUGCGUAGAGAUCGGGAGGAAUACCAGUGGCGAAGGCGGCCUUCUGGACUGACACUGACACUGAGGUGCGAAAGCGUGCGUAGCAAACAGGAUUAGAUACCCUGGGUAGUCA
rnacentral:rRNA from 1 species